rnacentral:rRNA from 1 species
UACGAAGGGUGCAAGCGUUACUCGGAAUUACUGGGCGUAAAGCGUGCGUAGGCGGUUUGUUAAGUCUGUCGUGAAAGCCCCGGGCUCAACCUGGGAAUGGCGAUGGAUACUGGCGAGCUAGAGUACGGUAGAGGAGAGUGGAAUUCCCGGUGUAGCAGUGAAAAUGCGUAGAGAUCGGGAGGAACAUCAGUUGCGAAGGCGGCUCUCUGGACCAGUACUGACGCUGAGGCACGAAAGCGUGGGGAGCAAACAGG